GGGACGUUAGCUCAGUCGGUAGAGCAGCGGACUUUUAAUCCGUUGGUCGCAGGUUCGAAUCCUGCACGUCCCACCA
rnacentral:tRNA from 10 species